AGAAGUUCGUUCAGGUUUUUCUGUAAGACGGUAUGGAAAACUUGAAUGAACCUUUUGG
ensembl:miRNA